UGUGUGUUCACACACUCAUUCUCCUCGUCUCCCCCUACUCGUGCUCCUGAGAUAUUUUAAUUUCUUCUUCUUACUCUCUCACGAUUUAAUCUCUCUGCAUACGUGAAUCAUAAUUUUAUCAGGUUCUCCUUCCUCUUCUGCUUCAACUAGAUCCAUCAACAAUAUCAAUUCUUGAACAUAUAUUCUGAAUCGAUGAAGAUCAUCAACAACACAAAACGAAGAUUCAGCAACAAAAAAUGAAUCGAAAGAUGGCUGAAUGGGAUUUUUGCUUGGUUGGAUACUGGUGAUUGAGUUGCAGUAAAUUUAUCUCCUUAAAUCAGUUCACCUAAUCUUCAUCUUAAUUGUUAAACUUUACUGUUUCGAACUCUAUAUUAUAUGUGACUCUCUUCAUCUGGUUUCUAACAAAAUUAGAUCAGUGAUGGAUUUGUUGCAGAGGCCCGUCAAGUUAAAUCAGAGAUUUGUUGACUGUGGGGAAGUGCUUGUGCUCUUGAACUAUUAGUUCUUUCCAAAUAAGUCGAAUAUCGUGCUCAGGGGUGUGUUGUAUUUGACAGACACAUGUCUCAUAGCAAAGGAAAGUAUGUACAGAUUUUAUUGCAUUAUUGCAAAAAUAGUUGAAUCUGAAUGCUAUUUUGGAUUCCAAGGGUUACUUACUUGAUGAAGACGGAUUCAAUUAUAUAAAAGUGGCACUUGUGAGGGACAUCAAAGCUUAACAAAGUAGUUUGAGAGAUUAUCAAGACUUAUACUCAUCAAAGUACUACGAGGAUAUGCAAAACCUUGGAAUGCAAGCUGUGAUCUUGCAUUCCCCUGCACAUGUGAUGUUGUAAAUUUUUUCAGCUCAGGUCGUCGUAUAUUGGUAGAAGUCUCAGCUAUGACUUGUACUCAAGCAGUUGAUGUACUGAGGAAAUCUAAUGUUCUUAUUGCUCCAACAAAAGCUGCUUGUACUGGAGGGGGGUUUUCUGAGCUUGAAUAUGCAAUUUUGCGUUACUGAGAAUACUGUCGAAGCAAAAUUCUUCGAGGGAUUUGAGUUUUUCUGUCACAUGUACAACUUCUCAACCAGGCACUAAAUGCUGGUGACGAAAUGCUGGUUUGAAGUAAUUAGAUGUGGAUACAACUAUUGUAUGUCGGUAUAGUGCCAGCCAGGUCUGCUAAAGAACAACCCUAAGAUUAGGGCAGUUCAUGGUCGGUUUUGGUUCGGUUUCUAGCCAAACCAAAACCGAAACCAAUACUAUUGGUUUCUAAAAAUCUAAACCAAACCAAUCCAUUAACCAUUGGUUCGGUUUCCAAAUGGUUCCAGUUGGUUUC